rnacentral:misc_RNA from 1 species
ACUUUCUGAAUAAAUAUGCUAGUUGCCUAAUUCAAUGUAUAAUUAUCUGUUUAAAUUGAUGCACUUCUUGAACUGUGGUGGAGUUGGCAUGUACUGGAAACAUGCAUUUUAAAGUAUUUGUGCGUUCUACAUCCAUGUAAAACUUAAGGUUCAUUUAUAAAAUGAACUCUUUCUAUGUAUUUGCUUUGGCAGAGGGCCCGUG